UCGCCCUUAGAGUUUAUCCUGGCUCAGAUUGAACGCUGGCGGCAUGCCUUACACAUGCAAGUCGAACGGCAGCAUGAUCUAGCUUGCUAGAUUGAUGGCGAGUGGCGAACGGGUGAGUAAUACAUCGGAACGUGCCCUGUAGUGGGGGAUAACUAGUCGAAAGAUUAGCUAAUACCGCAUACGACCUGAGGGUGAAAGUGGGGGACCGCAAGGCCUCAUGCUAUAGGAGCGGCCGAUGUCUGAUUAGCUAGUUGGUGAGGUAAAGGCUCACCAAGGCGACGAUCAGUAGCUGGUCUGAGAGGACGAUCAGCCACACUGGGACUGAGACACGGCCCAGACUCCUACGGGAGGCAGCAGUGGGGAAUUUUGGACAAUGGGCGAAAGCCUGAUCCAGCAAUGCCGCGUGUGUGAAGAAGGCCUUCGGGUUGUAAAGCACUUUUGUCCGGAAAGAAAUGGCUCUGGUUAAUACCUGGGGUCGAUGACGGUACCGGAAGAAUAAGGACCGGCUAACUACGUGCCAGCAGCCGCGGUAAUACGUAGGGUCCAAGCGUUAAUCGGAAUUACUGGGCGUAAAGCGUGCGCAGGCGGUUGUGCAAGACCGAUGUGAAAUCCCCGAGCUUAACUUGGGAAUUGCAUUGGUGACUGCACGGCUAGAGUGUGUCAGAGGGGGGUAGAAUUCCACGUGUAGCAGUGAAAUGCGUAGAGAUGUGGAGGAAUACCGAUGGCGAAGGCAGCCCCCUGGGAUAACACUGACGCUCAUGCACGAAAGCGUGGGGAGCAAACAGGAUUAGAUACCCUGGUAGUCCACGCCCUAAACGAUGUCAACUAGUUGUUGGGGAUUCAUUUCCUUAGUAACGUAGCUAACGCGUGAAGUUGA
rnacentral:rRNA from 1 species